rnacentral:lncRNA from 1 species
AUGUUUCAAAAGACACAAAGGUAUGGUACCCACAAUCUUGCUUGAUUUUUUUGUUUCUUUAUUAUUGAAAUCCAAUAACUUUUCAUGUAUGUUGAUUGGAUGUUUGAAUUUUGCUUCAUCCUUUUGCAUAUAUUAUGGGAAAUUUCUUGGCUUAGUGCUUUCCCAUUGACUUAUGUUCGGAUAAAGAGAUGAGCUUAACAUUCUACUUCUGCUUACUGAAGUUGAAAUAUGUGUGAGCCAAAAGAAUAAGUGAACCAAUGAUAUACGGUCUCAAGCUUAGUUUCCACUAGCCUAUAAACAAUUUCUAAAAUCCAAGUUUUGUAGUCAAAGAUUAAAGUGGGAAUCUGGGUAUUGUUGUCCUGCUUAUUCUACUUGUGUUUUUGUAAAGUCUUAAGGUGGCAUUUUUCAUCAUGAUACUUAGAUACAGGAACAAAUUUGCUUCUUUGCAUAAUGCAGAAACCCCCUGCACCAAGCCAAAAUCCACAGAGGAAAAAUCUGGUGAGAACUUUUUAUCUUGAAUUGGAUGUUUUUCAUAUGACCAAUUUCAUGCUUUAAUCAAGGAUGCUUGUGUUCUUCAUGAAUUUGAUGUUCUAUAAAAUUAUUUUAUAAAUUGGUACAGGUUGGGAGAUAAUAAUAUUAUUACACAUAUGUCUUACUAAGUUUGUGGCUUUGGGGGUGCUUUUUUGUGUAGAUGAUGCUAUAAAAUUUGACGCAGUAAUAACUUAUAAUUUUUAAUAUUCUUUAGUAAUAUCAAGAGUAUCAACACUUCUUUUGGUCUGUUCAAUAGUCCAUACUGAGCUGUAUAAGCCAAUUACCGGUAUAAGUGAUAUAUAUUGUCAAUUAUUUGGGAUAGUGCAUAUAUAUAUAUAUUGUCAAUUACAUAUAAAGCAUGAGAGGAGAGAUAGUGCAUAUUGAUAUAUUUUUUAUAUUGUUUUUACAAUCGUUAAGUUUUCCCACUCCACCCACUAACUCAUGAAAAGUAGGACAGUUCAUUUGUUCGAAAGUUUCUGUAUUUUGGCUUUUGUUACUACUUAGUCUUCAAGACUGUAGCCUUAUUCCUUCAUGUUCUUUAUAUGGCCAACCAGUUUAGUUGCUUAUGAUUAUUCAUGGUUUGUGAAUGCAGGGGUAAGUAGAGAUGAAGAGACACUUUUGCCGACAGUUUAUCUAAAUAAGUAAGAAUUUACUUCACUUCUCUUUGUUUAUAUGGUUCCUACCCCCUAGUAUUUUGAAAGCAUAAUAAAUUGGAGUGUUACCUUUCAGUUGAAGAUUCGUUUUUGUGUAGUAGAAAACCAUUUUUGAGUUGUUCCAUCCUAUUUUAGUCCAGCUCUAUUUCAUCCUUUUGCUUUGCUUCAGUGCAAGCUUGAGUUCUAGUUGGGGCUCAUUAUGCAUUGUUUUUAUUUUAUGUUAGGGUGUGUGUGUAACUUAUGUUAAUGUCUACUGUAGGUUGCCUGAAAAAUUUCCUGAAGGAUCUCGAGUUUUUGUGGUAGAUCCAAUGUUGGCAAUAGGUACUAAUCUUCAUCUAAUUGUUGGAAAUCUUAUGUUAUAUUCAUCCUAUAUAACAAUAAAGCUUUAUGGCACUUUCCCUUCGUUUUUCAUUUGAAGUGAAGUAAAUCAUUGAUUUUUGCAUUUCAAAUGAAGAUAAUAUAACUAUUUUCCUUGUAGUAGUGCAAGCACAAAUUUUUAAAUUUGUAUGCAUUGUGUUUUUAAGUGAUUGUUUUUCCUAAGACUAAGGUUGAUUCUGUUAAACUCCUUUUGCUACGUUUCUUGUUAAAAAUUUCAGGUGGCAUAAUUGUGGUAGCACUUGACCUCUUAAACGAACGUGGAAUUGACAACAAGCACUCAUGUGUAUUGAAGAUAUUG